AGUGAACGCUGGCGGUAGGCCUAACACAUGCAAGUCGAACGGCAGCACAGUAAGAGCUUGCCCUUACGGGUGGCGAGUGGCGGACGGGUGAGGAAUACAUCGGAAUCUACUUUUUUUUGGGUGAUAACGUAGGGCAACUUACGAUACUACCUCAUACGUUCUACGGGAGAAAGCAGGGGAUCUUCGCACUUUUCGCGAUAGUAUGAGCCGAUGUCGGAUUAGCUAGUUGGCGGGGUAAGGGCCCACCAAGGCGACGCUCCGUAGCUGGUCUGAGAGGAUGAUCAGCCACACUGGAACUGAGACACGGUCCAGACUCCUACGGGAGGCAGCAGUGGGGAAUAUUGGACAAUGGGCGCAAGCCUGAUCCAGCCAUACCGCGUGGGUGAAGAAGGCCUUCGGGUUGUAAAGCCCUUUUGUUGGGAAAGAAAAGCAGCAGGUUAAUACCCCGCUGUUCUGACGGUACCCAAAGAAUAAGCACCGGCUAACUUCGUG
rnacentral:rRNA from 1 species